rnacentral:rRNA from 1 species
GACGAACGCUGGCGGCGUGCCUAAUACAUGCAAGUAGAACGAUGAAGAGAGGAGCUUGCUCUUCUUGGGUGAGUUGCGAACGGGUGAGUAACGCGUAGGUAACCUGCCUUUUAGCGGGGGAUAACUUUUGGAAACGAUAGCUAAUACCGCAUAACAAUGGGUGACACAUGUUUUUUAUUUGAAAGGGGCCAUUGCUCCACUACAAGAUGGACCUGCGUUGUAUUAGCUAGUAGGUGAGGUAAUGGCUCACCUAAGCGACGGUACAUAGCCCAACUGAGAGGGGGGUCGGCCAAACUGGGAAUGGGGACCGGCCCAGAAUCCCACGGGGGGCAGCAGUAGGGAAUCUUCGGGAAUGGGGGGAAACCUGACCGGGCAAAGCCGCGUGGGUGGAGAAGGGUUUCGGAUCGGAAAGCUCCGGUGUAAGGCAAGAAAGGAUGUGAGAGUGGAAAGUGCACACUGUGACGGUAGCUAACCAGAAAGCGACGGCUAACUACGUG